rnacentral:tRNA from 1 species
UGCAUCGGCCGGGAAUCGAACCCUGGCCUCCCGCGUGGCAGGCGAGCAUUCUACCACUGAACCACCGAUGC